AUUGACCGCUGGCGGCAGGCCUAACACAUGCAAGUCGAGCGAGCGGCGGACGGGUGGGUAAUGUAUGGGGACUGCCCGAUAGAGGGGGAUAACUACUGGAAACGGUGGCUAAUACCGCAUACUAUCGGAUAACCCAUAUGGGAUUAGCUAGGAGGUGGGGUAAAGGCUCACCUAGGCGACGAUCUCUAGCUGGUCUGAUAGGAUGAUCAGCCAGAGUGGGAUUGAGACAAGGCCCAGACUCCUACGGAGGCAGCAGUGGGUAAGAUGGCACAAUGGGCGCAAUAUUGAUGCCGGCGUGCGUCGUGUAUGAUGAAGGCCUUAGGGUUGUAAAGUACUUCCAGCGGGGAGGCGUUCCCCGCAGAAGAAGAACCGGCUAACGCCGUGUCAGCAGCCGCGGUAAUAC
rnacentral:rRNA from 1 species